rnacentral:rRNA from 1 species
UUAAGCGACUAAGCGUACACGGUGGAUGCCCUGGCAGUCAGAGGCGAUGAAGGACGUGCUAAUCUGCGAUAAGCGUCGGUGAGGUGAUAUGAACCGUUAUAACCGGCGAUUUCCGAAUGGGGAAACCCAGUGUGUUUCGACACACUAUCAUUAACUGAAUCCAUAGGUUAAUGAGGCGAACCGGGGGAACCGAAACAUCUAAGUACCCCGAGGAAAAGAGAUCAACCGAGAUUCCCCCAGUAGCGGCGAGCGAACGGGGAGGAGCCCAGAGCCUGAAUCAGUGUGUGUGUUAGUGGAAGCGUCUGGAAAGGCGCGCGAUACAGGGUGACAGCCCCGUACACAAAAAUGCACAUAUUGUGAGCUCGAUGAGUAGGGCGGGACACGUGGUAUCCUGUCUGAAUAUGGGGGGACCAUCCUCCAAGGCUAAAUACUCCUGACUGACCGAUAGUGAACCAGUACCGUGAGGGAAAGGCGAAAAGAACCCCGGCGAGGGGAGUGAAAAAGAACCUGAGACCGUGUACGUACAAGCAGUGGGAGCCUCUUAAUGGGGUGACUGCGUACCUUUUGUAUAAUGGGUCAGCGACUUAUAUUCUGUAGCAAGGUUAACCGAAUAGGGGAGCCGAAGGGAAACCGAGUCUUAACUGGGCGUUAAGUUGCAGGGUAUAGACCCGAAACCCGGUGAUCUAGCCAUGGGCAGGUUGAAGGUUGGGUAACACUAACUGGAGGACCGAACCGACUAAUGUUGAAAAAUUAGCGGAUGACUUGUGGCUGGGGGUGAAAGGCCAAUCAAACCGGGAGAUAGCUGGUUCUCCCCGAAAGCUAUUUAGGUAGCGCCUCGUGAAUUCAUCUCCGGGGGUAGAGCACUGUUUCGGCAAGGGGGUCAUCCCGACUUACCAACCCGAUGCAAACUGCGAAUACCGGAGAAUGUUAUCACGGGAGACACACGGCGGGUGCUAACGUCCGUCGUGAAGAGGGAAACAACCCAGACCGCCAGCUAAGGUCCCAAAGUCAUGGUUAAGUGGGAAACGAUGUGGGAAGGCCCAGACAGCCAGGAUGUUGGCUUAGAAGCAGCCAUCAUUUAAAGAAAGCGUAAUAGCUCACUGGUCGAGUCGGCCUGCGCGGAAGAUGUAACGGGGCUAAACCAUGCACCGAAGCUGCGGCAGCGACACUAUGUGUUGUUGGGUAGGGGAGCGUUCUGUAAGCCUGUGAAGGUGGCCUGUGAGGGUUGCUGGAGGUAUCAGAAGUGCGAAUGCUGACAUAAGUAACGAUAAAGCGGGUGAAAAGCCCGCUCGCCGGAAGACCAAGGGUUCCUGUCCAACGUUAAUCGGGGCAGGGUGAGUCGACCCCUAAGGCGAGGCCGAAAGGCGUAGUCGAUGGGAAACAGGUUAAUAUUCCUGUACUUGGUGUUACUGCGAAGGGGGGACGGAGAAGGCUAUGUUGGCCGGGCGACGGUUGUCCCGGUUUAAGCGUGUAGGCUGGUUUUCCAGGCAAAUCCGGAAAAUCAAGGCUGAGGCGUGAUGACGAGGCACUACGGUGCUGAAGCGACAAAUGCCCUGCUUCCAGGAAAAGCCUCUAAGCAUCAGGUAACAUCAAAUCGUACCCCAAACCGACACAGGUGGUCAGGUAGAGAAUACCAAGGCGCUUGAGAGAACUCGGGUGAAGGAACUAGGCAAAAUGGUGCCGUAACUUCGGGAGAAGGCACGCUGAUAUGUAGGUGAAGCGACUUGCUCGUGGAGCUGAAAUCAGUCGAAGAUACCAGCUGGCUGCAACUGUUUAUUAAAAACACAGCACUGUGCAAACACGAAAGUGGACGUAUACGGUGUGACGCCUGCCCGGUGCCGGAAGGUUAAUUGAUGGGGUUAGCGGUAACGCGAAGCUCUUGAUCGAAGCCCCGGUAAACGGCGGCCGUAACUAUAACGGUCCUAAGGUAGCGAAAUUCCUUGUCGGGUAAGUUCCGACCUGCACGAAUGGCGUAAUGAUGGCCAGGCUGUCUCCACCCGAGACUCAGUGAAAUUGAACUCGCUGUGAAGAUGCAGUGUACCCGCGGCAAGACGGAAAGACCCCGUGAACCUUUACUAUAGCUUGACACUGAACAUUGAGCCUUGAUGUGUAGGAUAGGUGGGAGGCUUUGAAGUGUGGACGCCAGUCUGCAUGGAGCCGGCCUUGAAAUACCACCCUUUAAUGUUUGAUGUUCUAACGUUGGCCCGUAAUCCGGGUUGCGGACAGUGUCUGGUGGGUAGUUUGACUGGGGCGGUCUCCUCCUAAAGAGUAACGGAGGAGCACGAAGGUUGGCUAAUCCUGGUCGGACAUCAGGAGGUUAGUGCAAUGGCAUAAGCCAGCUUGACUGCGAGCGUGACGGCGCGAGCAGGUGCGAAAGCAGGUCAUAGUGAUCCGGUGGUUCUGAAUGGAAGGGCCAUCGCUCAACGGAUAAAAGGUACUCCGGGGAUAACAGGCUGAUACCGCCCAAGAGUUCAUAUCGACGGCGGUGUUUGGCACCUCGAUGUCGGCUCAUCACAUCCUGGGGCUGAAGUAGGUCCCAAGGGUAUGGCUGUUCGCCAUUUAAAGUGGUACGCGAGCUGGGUUUAGAACGUCGUGAGACAGUUCGGUCCCUAUCUGCCGUGGGCGCUGGAGAACUGAGGGGGGCUGCUCCUAGUACGAGAGGACCGGAGUGGACGCAUCACUGGUGUUCGGGUUGUCAUGCCAAUGGCACUGCCCGGUAGCUAAAUGCGGAAGAGAUAAGUGCUGAAAGCAUCUAAGCACGAAACUUGCCCCGAGAUGAGUUCUCCCUGACCCUUUAAGGGUCCUGAAGGAACGUUGAAGACGACGACGUUGAUAGGCCGGGUGUGUAAGCGCAGCGAUGCGUUGAGCUAACCGGUACUAAUGAACCGUGAGGCUUAACCUU